rnacentral:misc_RNA from 1 species
GAUGAAGAACGCAGCGAAAUGCGAUACGUAAUGUGAAUUGCAGAAUUCAGUGAAUCAUCGAAUCUUUGAACGCAUAUUGCGCUCUCUGGUAUUCCGGAGAGCAUGCUUGUUUGAGUAUCAGUAAACACCUCAACUCCCUUUUCUUUUUUGAAAUUGGAGCUGGACUUGAGUGAUCCCAACGCUUUCUUCCAAGAAAGUGGCGGGUUGCUUGAAAUGCAGGUGCAGCUGAACUUUUCUCUGAGCUAUAAGCAUAUCUAUUUAGUCUGCCUAAAAAACAGAUUAUUACCUUUGCUGCAGCUAACUUAAAGGAGACUAGUUCUUGUGCUGACUGAUGCAGGAUUCACAGAGACAGCUUCGGCUGACUUUGUAAACUCGAUCUCAAAUCAAGUAAGACUACCCGCUGAACUUAAGCAUAUCAAUAAGCGGAGGA